ACGCCUCAGCGCACUGUGAUGUUAUUAAAAAAAAAAGUCAGCGAGAGAGAAGCCCGACCCGACCCGACCCAAAGAUCUUACCUCUACCCGCUCUGCCACUCUGUCAGCACCCUUUUGUUGGGGUACCAGUUAGGAAUGUGCCAAAUAUUCGGUCAUCGGCAAAUUAUGGUCUGAAAACUGUCAUUGAAGCAACACAGCCAAGACAGAAUGUUUGCAUUGUAGGAUUUGAUUUAGAAGAAAUUGGGGGCGGCGGUUCUGGUGCAUCACCUCGUCUUGUCCGACCCGGGUGAAAUGUGGGCAACAACAACGGUGUCUUUUUGAAGAUUCCCCAAUGCAAACAAGUGUAGCAUUAACACAGAACUCUUCCUCUGGCCAGAGGUUGAGCUGCUGUGUAUUUGUUUAUCAAACCAUAUGUGAAGUUACAGUGCAAGGCUGAUACACUUCCCAACCUUCACAUUUUAGUCCAUGAGGCAAAUCAGUUGGCCUCGGUACUGUACUGAAAGAUUGUUAAGAAAAAAAAAAAAUCUAACGAAAAGAAGUCUAAAAAGUGGGCAUUUUAAAAAAUCGGUCAUGUUGACCUUCCUGUCCGUGCCAGUGCGUCAAAACAACCAAACCAAAACCACGGUGAACUCAAUUAGACGGACUGUUUGGUGGAAACGUGGCUUAAUGAUAGAGCCAAGCCCGUAUUGUUCAAAGCAUUUCCCUGAAUCCAUUGUUCAAAUCUUGGACCUUCUGAGCAGCCCACCACAAGCCGAUUCAUGUCAGGGUGCUCCUCUGCAACACAUUUUUACAUGUGCUUGAAAGACUCAAGACUGAUACGAACUCCCUAUUUAAGACAAGCUACACACGCUUUACAAGUGGCGAGUAUUCUCAAGUGGAUUGCGAAUGGAUUUUUUUUUUUUCCCCCCCUGGAGGUCCAAAAUAUUCUGUGAAUGUUGUCGCUGGUUCUCCCAGUCGCCCAAGAACGCAGUGCCGUGGACUCCAGUGUGAGAGAGAGAGAGAGAGAGGGGAAGAGUUGUUUUUUUUUUUUUUUUUUUAAUCUACAUAUUUUUGGGGGACUUAAAAUGGAGCUCUUGGCUAUGAUGUAAUACGAUUCAUUGUGGUUCAAUGGUGCUUUCCAUUCCAGUCGACGCAAUUUCUUAACUUUGGCUUUCGCUGUUCAAAUUUCAGUCAUACCCACCCCCGAACCGAAUCGCAAGCGACACCGCUCAAAUGUGGACCCGAUAUGAUCAUUGUGAAGAAACUCCGGUUUUGCAUCACAAGAACCGAUGAGUGCAACCUCUUCUCUCUCAUCACACACUGCCACUCGGUCGGGUUCCAAACCCUCCCUCCUAUUCUCCCGUUUCUGCCACAGUGCUGUCAAUAAUACGGGUUUGCCAUGUUAAAGCACAUUUAACAUGCUCACUAUACACACACGCGCGCGCGUGCACAAGUUACUCGGUUUGCUUUGGUGUUGUGACGAUUUUGGAAGGUCGUUUUUGGACCUUUGGACCGCACGGGUCCGUCUUUUAGCCUGUUGAAUGUCGCCUACGCGGAAAGACGUUCGGUGUUUUUGCUUCUUGUUUUUGGCCACCCCACGGUGGAUAAACCCCCCCAUCCCCUGGCACUUGUACGCGAUCAAGCGCAAGCGAUUACAUUGGUGACAAAAUGUAUCAGCCGAUGGUGUGAAUGUCAUGAGCUUUAAAAGGCGUCGAGCUUUGACUGUUAUCUGACGCACAGAUCCUUCGGGGGAGCACAGACCUCUUGGAAGGUUGAUCAAAUUGUUUGUUUGUUACUUAUCGGGCUACUUCCUGGACAAACUCAUGAGCGAUGCCAUUAUGAUGCAGUCGGAGGGCCGGAUAGUUACUUGAUCCUGGGCCACCCCCCCCCCCCAAAAAAAAUCCCUGCUUUGUGUACAUUUGGUGGGAGUUUUUUGGCGCACAACCAAAUUUUAAAUGCGGUUUAGUGUCAAAAUGGUGGACAAACAUCCUUUUUUUGCGCAGUGCUAUUUUGGAACACGUUUGAUACCAAUAAGCUCGUAUUUGGGCAGACAGUAGCAUUAAAUUGACCGUGACCGUCUUUCGACAGUAUUCAGCCCAGAGUGGUUGAUGGCGUCCCCCGUCUGAUGGAUCGGACCUGCAGUUUGUGUUUGUGUGGCUCUUAGUUCCACUUCACGAUCAGCUCAUCAUCCAGUUGCAAUAUGGCUCUUUGUCUUAUCUGAUGCCUUCCCCUCCCUCCCUCUUUCUUUGUGUGUGUGUAUUCUCUGCACUUUAGCGCUGCGUGGGCAAGGCGCAGGGAAGUUGCGAUUGUAUUGUGGAACAGGCCACAAUCCGGGCUGCGAGCGAAAUUGGCUUUGUUUUUUUUCUCUUGUAAGGGCGAGGAAAGGAGGAGAACAGUGGGUGAUGUGGAAUGGACCCUACCAAAAAAAGAGGAUGUUUCUAGUCCUUUUAAAAAAAAAAAAAGCAUCCUCUUACUUUGCUGACCACACACUUGGCCAUCCAAUCUCUGUCUGCAGUACAUUCUUUUAUUUUCAUGUUUUGCAAAAAAUGGUCAUGAUGAUGAUGAUGCUCCUCCUUUCUUUGCUGCAUAGAAUGCACUUUCUACUACUAAAACUCUUGGCUAGUUGCGAG